GAUGAACGCUGGCGGCGUGCCUAAUACAUGCAAGUCGAGCGAACAGACGAGGAGCUUGCUCCUCUGACGUUAGCGGCGGACGGGUGAGUAACACGUGGAUAACCUACCUAUAAGACUGGGAUAACUUCGGGAAACCGGAGCUAAUACCGGAUAAUAUAUUGAACCGCAUGGUUCAAUAGUGAAAGACGGUUUUGCUGUCACUUAUAGAUGGAUCCGCGCCGCAUUAGCUAGUUGGUAAGGUAACGGCUUACCAAGGCAACGAUGCGUAGCCGACCUGAGAGGGUGAUCGGCCACACUGGAACUGAGACACGGUCCAGACUCCUACGGGAGGCAGCAGUAGGGAAUCUUCCGCAAAGGGCGAAAGCUUGACGGAGCAACGCCGCGUGAGUGAUGAAGGUCUUCGGAUCGUAAAACUCUGUUAUUAGGGAAGAACAAAUGUGUAAGUAACUAUGCACGUCUUGACGGUACCUAAUCAGAAAGCCACGGCUAACCACGUG
rnacentral:rRNA from 1 species